AACGAACGCUGGCGGCAGGCCUAACACAUGCAAGUCGAACGCCGUAGCGAUACGGAGUGGCAAACGGGUGAGUAACGCGUGGGAACAUACCCCUCGUUCGGAAUAACUCAGGGAAACUUGAGCUAAUACCGGAUAAGUCCGAGGUUUUAAUCGACCUUGGAGAAAGAUUUAUCGCCGGAGGAUUGGCCCGCGUCUGAUUAGCUUGUUGGUGAGGUAAUGGCUCACCAAGGCGACGAUCAGUAGCUGGUCUGAGAGGAUGAUCAGCCACAUUGGGACUGAGACACGGCCCAAACUCCUAGGGAGGCAGCAGUGGGGAAUAUUGGACAAUGGGCGAAAGCCUGAUCCAGCCAUGCCGCGUGAGUGAUG
rnacentral:rRNA from 1 species